rnacentral:tRNA from 1 species
CCCUUGCUAGCUCAGAUGGUAAAGAAUCUGCCUGCAAUGCAGGAGACCCAAGUUCAAUCCCUGGGUGGGGAA